rnacentral:rRNA from 1 species
UACAGAGGGGGCAAGCGUUGUUCGGAAUUACUGGGCGUAAAGGGCGCGUAGGCGGCCCGCUAAGUCGAACGUGAAAUCCCCGAGCUCAACUCGGGAACUGCGUCCGAUACUGGUGGGCUUGAAUCCGGGAGAGGGAUGCGGAAUUCCAGGUGUAGCGGUGAAAUGCGUAGAUAUCGGAAAGAACACCAACGGCGAAAGCACUCUGCUGGGCCGACACUGACACUGAGAGACGAAAGCUAGGGGAGCGAAUGGG